UAUAUUAUGGUGCGUGUCGUGUGAAAUGGCGAAUAGAAAAGGCAUCAAAAUAGGGGCCAGAUUAAGAAAAGACUGUUAAUACCUUAAUUUAUAUAUUGGAGCAUCCUUAUAAUUGAGAAAGCUGUUUGCGAUGUGAGAGAAUCUGCGUCCCAUUAGCUAGUUGGAGAGGUAACGGCUCAUCAAGCCGAUGAUGGGUAGCGGGCCUGAGAGGGUGAUCGGCCACAAGGGGACUGAGACACGGCCCUUACUCCUACGGGAGGCAGCAGUGGGGAAUAUUGGACAAUGGACCGAGAGUCUGAUCCAGCAAUUCUGUGUGCACGAUGAAGUUUUUCGGAAUGUAAAGUGCUUUCAGUUGGGAAGAAAGAAAUGACGGUACCAACAGAAGAAGUGACGGCUAAAUACGUGCCAGCAGCCGCGGUAAUACGUAUGUCACGAGCGUUAUCCGGAUUUAUUGGGCGUAAAGCGCGUCUAGGUGGUUAUAUAAGUCUGAUGUGAAAAUGCAGGGCUCAACUCUGUAUUGCGUUGGAAACUGUAUAACUAGAGUACUGGAGAGGUAAGCGGAACUACAAGUGUAGAGGUGAAAUUCGUAGAUAUUUGUAGGAAUGCCGAUGGGGAAGCCAGCUUACUGGACAGAUACUGACGCUGAAGCGCGAAAGCGUGGGUAGCAAACAGG
rnacentral:rRNA from 1 species